GAUCAUGGCUCAGGAUGAACGCUAGCUACAGGCUUAACACAUGCAAGUCGAGGGGCAGCAUGACCUAGCAAUAGGUUGAUGGCGACCAGCGCACGGGUGAGUAACACGUAUCCAACCUACCGGUUAUUCCGGGAUAGCCUUUCGAAAGAAAGAUUAAUACCGGAUAGUAUAACGAGAAGGCAUCUUCUUGUUAUUAAAGAAUUUCGAUAACCGAUGGGGAUGCGUUCCAUUAGUUUGUUGGCAGGGUAACGG
rnacentral:rRNA from 1 species